GACGAACGCUGGCGGCGUGCUUAACACAUGCAAGUCGAACGGAAAGGCCCUGCUUUUGUGGGGUUCUCGCGUGGCGAACGUGUGAGUAACACAUGAGUAACCUUCCCUUGACUUUAUGAUAACUUCAGGAAACUGGGGCUAAUACCUGCUAGCAGCUCCUGCUGCAUGGUGGUGUUUGGAAAUUUUCGGCGGUUGGGGGUGGACUCGCGGCUUAUCAGCUGGUUGGUUGGGUAGUGGCUUACCAAGGCUUUGGCGGCUAGCCGGCCUGAGAGGGUGACCGGCCACAUUGGGACUGAGAUACGGCCCAGAGUGCUACGGGAGGCAGCAGUGGGGAAUCUUGCACAAUGGGCGGAAGCCUGAUGCAGCAACGUUGCGUGCGGGAUGACGGCUUUCGGGGUGGAAACCGCUUUAGCCUGUGACGAAGCGUGAGUGACGGUAAUGGGUAAAGAAGCACCGGCUAACUACGUG
rnacentral:rRNA from 1 species